CAAUUCUUCUCUGUUUUGAAAUAGAAUUUCAUGCCCAGCUUGUUUCACGACAUGUUGAGCUGCUGCCGAUUUUUCACAAAUAAGGCACAAUUUUUACUGCCUUUCACAACAAUACAAAACCUUACGAACACGGCCAAACAACCCAAAAAACCUACAACAACCAUCAGAUUGUGGCCAUGAAAGCCUUCGGGAACACAUAACUUCAUUGACUUUACUGAGUCAUCUUGAAUGAGACAAAUGUCAUAGUUUUGUGACAUGGGCAUUCUUCUUUAUUUCCUUGUUCCCAUGGUUCCAAGAAUGAUGCAAGAGUCAGGUUCCAGUUGUUCAACGCCAACCAUUUGUUGCUAAGGUGCCAACGCAGCUGCUCCUGUAGUUUUAUCUUGAGGCACCCUCCGUUGCUCCCCACUGCCAUUUAGCUUGCUCAGCAAGCAACUUCCAUGGCAUUUCCUUUCCUGUAUUCAUGGUGGCAUGAUUCGAGUCUGGACUGUGUAGAUGAUGUCCCGGAAGAAGAUGUGCAGCUUGACAACAAUGUGGAGGAGGAGGAUGUCUGCUGGUUUUUAGUACAAAUCUUACUUGGUUAUAUUUUCCUUGUUGGCCUUUUAAGGAUCCUCUAUCUCUUUAGGAAUAUGAUAAGGAAAAACCAUGGACAUCUAUCUUGGAAUAGGCUGAAAUGUUCCAAAGGUAAACCUUCAUUCUGCUCCUAUUUCAAAUCAGUAUUAUUAAACAAAUGGCACAGACCAAAUGUUAUUGAACCAAAGAGACAGAGAUCUGGUAGCAAGUUGCCCCCUGAGCUGAUAACAAUUACUUUGAUUAAAUGACUAAAUGGGUCACUAAAUUGUACAUUGACCCGGGUUCCAGACUUGGCUGGGGAGCCGGCUAGUUCUCGGUGACUUUUAAAGCAACUGCUGUUCAAACCUCCUCUAUAAAGACGGUAGAUACACUGUUGACUGAUACUUUAACACAGGGGUUUUAAACUCAAUUUACCUGGGGGCCGCUAGAGGCAGAGUCUGGGUGAGUCUGGGCCGCAUUAGAUUUUCCACCAAGCGGAGCAAGAGCCC
rnacentral:lncRNA from 1 species